UAAAGAUUCAUCGCUGAUAGAUAGGCAUGCGUUUCAUUAGGCAGUUGGCGGGGUAACGGCCCACCAAACCGACGAUGGAUAGGGGUUCUGAGAGGAAGGUCCCCCACAUUGGUACUGAGACACGGACCAAACUCCUACGGGAGGCAGCAGUGAGGAAUAUUGGUCAAUGGGCGCGAGCCUGAACCAGCCAAGUCGCGUGAGGGAUGAAGGUUCUAUGGAUCGUAAACCUCUUUUAUAAGGGAAUAAAGUGUGGGACGUGUCCUAUUUUGUAUGUACCUUAUGAAUAAGGAUCGGCUAACUCCGUGCCAGCAGCCGCGGUAAUACGGAGGAUCCGAGCGUUAUCCGGAUUUAUUGGGUUUAAAGGGUGCGUAGGCGGCCUUUUAAGUCAGCGGUGAAAGUCUGUGGCUCAACCAUAGAAUUGCCGUUGAAACUGGGGGGCUUGAGUAUGUUUGAGGCAGGCGGAAUGCGUGGUGUAGCGGUGAAAUGCUUAGAUAUCACGCAGAACCCCGAUUGCGAAGGCAGCCUGCCAAGCCAUGACUGACGCUGAUGCACGAAAGCGUGGGGAUCAAACAGGAUUAGAUACCCUGGUAGUCCACGCAGUAAACGAUGAUCACUAGCUGUUUGCGAU
rnacentral:rRNA from 1 species